UACGGGGGGGGCAAGCGUUGUUCGGAAUUACUGGGCGUAAAGGGCGCGUAGGCGGCCGAAUAAGUCUGACGUGAAAUCCCUCGGCCUAACCGAGGAACUGCGUUUGAAACUGUUCGGCUCGAGUCCGGGAGAGGGUAGUGGAAUUCCCAGUGUAGCGGUGAAAUGCGUAGAUAUUGGGAGGAACACCGGUGGCGAAGGCGGCUACCUGGACCGGUACUGACGCUGAUGCGCGAAAGCGUGGGGAGCGAACAGG
rnacentral:rRNA from 1 species